CUCCUGGGCUCAAGCAAUCUUCCCAUCUUGGCCUCCCAAAGUGCUGGGAUUACAGGUGUGAGCCAUUGUGUCUGGACUCCUCCAGGUCUUUUUGCAGCUUGUUAGCUUUUUUUUUUUUUUUUUUUUUUCAAUAAAUGCCCGUGCUUAUUACAAGAUAGAAACAUGAAGAAUUCCUUAGGUACUGUUUUUUUUUUUUUUUUUUUUUUUGAGACAGAGUCUAACCCUGUCACCCAGGCUGGAGUGCAGUGGUGUGAUCUCUGCUCACUGCAACCUCUGCCUCCCGGGUUCAAGCGAUUCUCCCGCCUCAGCCUCCUGAGUAGCUGGGAUUACAGAUGUGUGCCACCACACCCAGCUAAUUUAUUUAUUUAUUUAUUUUGAGUUUUUUAUUUUUGUUUGUUUGUUUAAGAUGGGGCCUUGCCCUGUCACCCAGGCUGGCGUACAGUGGCGUGAACGUGGCUUACUGCAGCCUCAACCUCCCAAACUCAAGCAAUCCUCCCAUGUCAUCCUCCUGAGUAGCUGGUACUACAGGCACAAAUUCCUCGGCUCAAGCAAUCCUCCCACCUUGGCCUCCCAAAGUGCUGGGAUUACAGGUAUGAGCCACCACGCCCAGCCAGCUCAUUUCUUUUUAUCACUGAAUAAUGUUCCAUUGUAUGGAUGUACCAUAGUUUUAUCUAAUCCACCUAUUGAAGGACAUCUUGACUCCAGUCUCUGAUAACUAUGAAUAGAGCUGCUGUAAACAUUCAUGCCCAGGUUUUGAGUGGGUGUAAGUUUUCAGCUCAUUGGGGUAAAUGCCUAGGAGUGCAAUUGCUGGGCCAUAUGGUAGACCUAUGGUUAGCCUUGUAGAAACUGCCAGUCUGCUUUUGCAUUCUCACCAGCAAUGAAGGGGAGUCACUGUUCCACAUCGUCUCCAGCACUGAGUGUUGUCAGUGUCUCGGGUGUGCUGUGCUUUUAAACUAUUUUCUUUUUAAAGCCGGGCAGAUUGGAAAGUAUGCAUCAUUUUUGUUGCCCACAAGAAGCUUGUUUUGAACUGUUUUAUGUUCACAGUUUGGGAUUUUUCGGGCAAUAUUGCUGAGCUUUAACAGGAACUUUGCAGUCCUGUCAACCUGAAUUUGAGCCCUUCAUUUGCAAGUAACCUUGCCGUGUGACUAUGAGCAAGGUACGUAACCUCUCCAUUGUUCAGUUUCUUUAUCUGUAAAAUGCAGAUUAUGCCCAGCUCAUAGCACUGGUGUGAGGAAUAAAUGAAGAUGUAGAUCACUUUUACAUGGUAUGUGACACUUGGUAGGCACCAAAUCAUUAUUGCUGGGAGGAUCAGUAUGUUCUUGCUUGUCUACACACACACAUACACACACACACACACGAGAGAGAGAGAGAGAGAAAUUGCAAAGAUAGUACAAAGAGUUCCCAUAUACCUGUACCCAGCUUCCCCUAUUAUUAACAUGUUAGUAUAGUGCAUUUGUUAAAAUUCAUGAACCAAUAUUGAGAUGUUAUUAACCCAAGUCUGUACUUCAUUCAGAUUUCUCUGGGUUUUUCCUAAUGUUCUUUCCUGUUCCAGGGUCCCAUCCGGGACACCACAUUCCAUUUCGUCAUCAUGUCUCCCUAGGUGCUCUCCCUGGCUGGGUCGUUCAAUCAGUUGCUUUUAAUUGCAUUUAAAUUUAAUUUUGGUGCAGACAGUGAGAUCUGUUACAGAAUUCUUAGGUUAAAACUUAGUCACAAUGGCUGGGUGCAGUGGCUCACGCCUGUAAUUGAAACACUUUGAGAGGUCGAGGCAGGCUGAUCACUGGAGGCCAGGUGUUCAAGACCAGCUUGGGCAACAUAGUCCCCCGUCUCUACUAAAAACACAAAAAAAUUAGCCAGGCAUGGUGGCACGCACCUGUAAUCCCAGCUACUCUGGAGGCCGAAGCAUGAGAAUCUCUGGAACCUGGGAGGCGGAGGUUUCAGUGAGCCAAGAUCAUGCCACUGCACUCCAUUCUGGACGACAGAGCCAGACUCUGUCUCAAAAACAAAAAACAAAAAAAGCAAACCUUGUUCACAAAAUUAUUAUGGGGCACCCAGUAGUAGCCCCUGAGCUGGAUGUGUGGUAGACUCCCCAGAUGUUAACCUGAAGUCUGCCCUACUGUGGCGAAACCUGCUUGUGUGCUAGAAAAAAGACCCAAGCUGCCGAAAACCACCUGUACCGUAUCCUGCCCCAUUUGUCCUCACCCAACUUCUGGUAAGUAGUGUCCAUUGAAAAAUGCUAGUUGGGCUGACAUGGUGGCCUGAGCAAUAAUGCAUCUCAGGAGUCUGUUGGCGGGGUGGAGGUAGGAAAAGGAGGGCACUGUGUGUUUUUCCUGACAGUCCCCUCAGAAAUGCUGGUGGCUUGGUGCUGGAAGGGUGUUGCCUCACCAUGUUAGCUGAGCUGUGUGGUUUCUUUGAAUGUUAACAACUUUCACUGUUUCGGCUUGAGUUUCCUCCCUGACAUCACCAGAUGAAAACAUAUGUCAGAGGUUUUGGGUUUCUGGUGCCAAAUCCAAGAUGGCUUAUCAGCAAGCGCCCCCCGCCAGACAGUGGAGGCUGUGCUGGGGCAGAGCUGCUUCCCCUUUGACAUUGGCUUUUUUCUAAAACCGAAAAUAAGCAACCGUGGCUGUGACUUCACUUUUCUUGGAACUGCUUUACAUUACCCCCCAAAUGGAGAAAACCCUCAUUUAGCAGCUUUUGGAUUGCCAAGUUCUCUAAUUCUUUCUGUUGCAUAUUCUUGUAAUGCUCAAGUUUUACUGACAAAGUCUUCUGCAUCAGGUGAAGCAGGAGGAGGAAGGAAUGACCAUGUGAAGUAACUGAGCGCUUUGUUGCCUGGCCUGUGGGUGUGUGGUUUCAUGGUUGAGGAGAAAAAGCACCUGGAAGACACAGUGUGUGUAGAAUGCCUUCCAGUUCCAAGGGUGACAACCCUGCGAUCUGCUGGCCAGCAGAUGGGCUAGGGCUGCUGUUGCUAAACAUCAGGCUACAGCCGAAACUUACAGAGCAGCUGCCUGCUUCAAGGACAAGGGGAAAAAUGCAUUUUCAGUCAUAAUGACCUACAUUUAGCAGAUAUUUCGGAGCCCGUGCGAAAGGACAUCUUCAAAGGGCCUCUUCCUCCUUGUGAUAAGGGAGACAGUGAUGUUAGUCAAACGUGGGGCCCAGUCCUGGUCCUGCCCGUUCCUGUCUGACUUUGGCCUUGGAAGUCUGUGAAGCCGAGACAAUUCAUCCUUCAAAGGGUGGUACCGGAUAUGUUGUCAUUACCAUGGGGAUUACACGAAACAUCCUGAAGUUAGAGCAAUCCAUUUUAAACUGAUGUUUUGUUGAUGGCUGACGUAGCGGACUCAAAACAACGAGCACUUCUGCUUGAUACACAGAUUCUCCGAGGUUCCUGUGGAGCCACAGCACCUCCUGUCUUGGCACUUCAUAGUUGUCUCAUCGAGUCCAAGGCUGCCUCCCAAGGGUCUGGCUGGUAGACCAUGAAGUUGAUUCCUGCCUUAAGCCUGGCUCUGCAAGAAGUUGUCCUAUAUUCUCACCAGUCACAUUUUUGGUACUAGAACGGUGCUUUUUAUAGUGCACUCGUAACUGGACGCUGAAAUCACAGCCUGGCCAUUUGGAUGUUCAACCGAUGCUUUAUGCUGCUGAGUCCUUGGAACUCACUCCCCGUGCCGGAACUCACUGGAGCUCAGGUGUGUGGCACUACCUUGUUUCUCUGCAGCUGGUAUUGCAAACAUUUUUCAUGCAUUUAUUUCCCAUUGUUUACUUUUGAGUUUUUGUUUUGUGAGACAGGGUCUCAGUCUGUCACGCAGGCAGGAGUGUGAUCAUGGCUCACUGCAGCCUUGACCUCCUGGGUUCAAGCAAUCUCGCCUCAGCCUCCCAAAGUGCUGGGAGUACAAGUGUGAGCCACCACACCUGCCCUACUUUUGAGCUUUGAGUUCUUUAUAUAUUCUAGAGAUGAGUCUCUAGAGAUGAGUCCUCGGUCUGAUAGAUGGUUUGUAAACAUUUUUCCCAAUCUGUAGCUUAUCUUUCCAUCUUCUUAAUAGAGUCUUUCAGACAGCAAAAAUAAGAUCUCUCUUGCAAAUACUCUGCCUCUGUAGCAGGAAAGCAGCCAUAGACUACGUAAAUGAACGUCGGUGGAUCCCUUGAGUAAGUGUCAUUCAUGGUAAAGAUAUCUCUAGACAGAUCAGUGCUGAGAGGCUUUUUCAUUCUUAAAUAAUAGUUGAGCUGGGUACACACACUAACCUCAUGCUUAUUUUCUCUUACUCCACUGUCUUCUGCUGUUGCUGGUGGGAGAUCAGUUAUCAACAUGUUCUUCCUUCUUUCCACCCUCUUCCUUAGCUUUUAGGACCUUUUCUUUGUUUUUUCUGCAGUUUAGUUCUGAUGGGUCUUGGUAUGGAUGGAUUUAUUGUAUUGGGGAUCAUGCCUGCUGACUCUAAAGGGUCCUGUGUCUGUUUUCAUUCUGGAAUUUUUUUUUUUUUGAGACGGAGUCUUGCUCUGUUGUUCAGGCUGGAGUGCAGUGGCGCAAUCUCGGCUCACUGCAACCUCCUGGGUUCAAGCGAUUCUCCUGCCUCAGCCUUCAUAGUUGCUGGGAUUACAGGAGCCCGCCACCACACCCGGCUAAUUUUUGUAUUUGUGGUAGAGACAGGGGUUUCGCCAUGUUGGCCAGGCUGGUCUCAAACUCCUGACCUCAGGUGAUCUGCCCAUCUUGGCCUCCCAAAGUGCUGGGAUUACAGGCAUAAGCCACCACACCCGGCAUUUCUUUUAGACAUGUUGGAUCCUCUUAUUUCAUCCUCCCUUUGUCAUAUUUUCCAAUUCAUUAAUUUUCUCUUCUGCUGUUAAGGUUUUAAAUGUCUGAAUGGCAGCCACUAAUUCUGGCAUCUGAAGCUCUUGGAAGCCUACUCCUGUUGUUGCCACUGACUUCUAUGCCCAUUUAGUGGGGCUUUGGCUGUGGGAAUCAUACGCAGCACUGGAUGACGGAGCUCUCACCACAUGGGAUCUGAUGCUGUCUCCAGGUAGCUGGUGUUAGAACUGAAUUAGAGGGACAGCCUGGUAGUGGGAACAACACACAUUUGGUCACAGAAGUCAUCUGCUGUGUUGAUGAUUAUUGUGGUGUGAGAGCAGAGAGAAAACAGGGCUGAGUAUUUUCCCUAAACAGUGGUGUACAUUCAAAUCCCUGAUGAGGCUGGGCGUGGUGGCUCCCGCCUGUCAUUUCAGCACUUUGGGAGGCUGAGGCAGGAGAACUGCUUGAACCCAGGAGGUGGAAGUUGCAGUGAGCCGAGAUUGUGCCACUGCACUCCAGCCUGGGUGACAGAGUGAGACUGUCCCAAAAAAGAAAAAACCUAAUGGCAAAUUUUCAAGAGGCAACUUAAUGUGGCUCUGUGGACACUUAGCUUAGUAGGGGGUAGGGAAUCCAUUUACAGUGAUAUAAAGGAGCACCUGAGGCUGGGUAGUUCAUAAAUGAGAUAAUUGGCUCACAGUUUUACAGGCUGUACAAGCACGCCUCCAGCAUUUGCUUGGCUUCUGGGAGGCCUCAGGAAGCUUACAAUCAUGGCAGGAGGAGAGAGUACAAAGAGAGGAGGUGCCAGGGUCUUUUUUUUUUUUGAGACGGAGUCUCACUCUGUUGCCCAGGCUAGAGUGCAGUGGUGCAGUCUCAGCUCACUGCAAGCUCUGCCUCCUGGGUUCACGCCAUUCUCCUGCCUCAGCCUCCUGAGUAGCUGGGACUACAGGCGCCCGCAACCAUGCCCGGCUAAUUUUUUUUGUAUUUUUAGUAGAGACGGGGUUUCACCGUGUUAGCCAGGAUGGUCUCGAUCUCCUGACCUCGUGAUGCACCCACCUCAGCCUCCCAAAGUGCUGGGAUUACAGGCGUGAGCCACCGUGCCCAGCCUUGCCAGCUUCUUUUUAAACAACCUGCUCUCAUGUGAACUAAUAGAGCAAGAACUCACUCUUCACCAAACGGAGGGCACUAGGCCAUCCAUGAGGCAUGUACCUGCCUCGAGGGGACACACAUCCAAACAGGCAGUCUUAAUAAAUGUUGUGACUCUUA